GUGGGGAAUAUUGGGCAAUGGGCGCAAGCCUGACCCAGCAACGCCGCGUGAGGGAAGAAGGUCUUCGGAUUGUAAACCUCUGUCCUUGGGGACGAAAAAAAUGACGGUACCCAAGGAGGAAGCUCCGGCUAACUACGUGCCAGCAGCCGCGGUAAUACGUAGGGAGCGAGCGUUGUCCGGAAUUACUGGGCGUAAAGGGUGCGUAGGCGGCUUGGCAAGUCAGAUGUGAAAUCCCCGGGCUUAACUCGGGAGUUGCAUUUGAAACUGCUAGGCUUGAGUGCAGGAGAGGAAAGCGGAAUUCCUAGUGUAGCGGUGAAAUGCGUAGAUAUUAGGAGGAACACCAGUGGCGAAGGCGGCUUUCUGGACUGUAACUGACGCUGAGGCACGAAAGCGUGGGGAGCAAACAGGAUUAGAUACCCGGGUAGUCC
rnacentral:rRNA from 1 species